rnacentral:rRNA from 3 species
CGCGCCCAGGAGUAGUUUGGCCGACCCUCAGCCAGGCGUGGUCCGGGAUUGGAAAUCCAAGGACCGCAAUGUGCGUUCGAAAUGUCGAUGUUCAUGUGUCCUGCAGUUCACA